UCCUUGUAACUUAGGUGGGUCAAUUUCUCCACCUGGUUGCCCAUCACGCUGCGGACACACGUUCACACCGCCGCAAGGGGAGAAAGCGAAACCAACUCCAGGGUCAUUUGCACAGGUCCCCGGACAGGGGCUGAGGCUACCUGUUGGGAGAGGAAGGCAAGAAAGCCAUGCAGGAGCCCCUCCGUGAAAAGGGCGUUUUGUUCCGAAAAAGAAUCGGUGGGGGCUCAGCACCUGGAGCCAUUUUAGGGGGAAGUCUCGGGUGUAGCGAGCUUUCCCUCGUUUCUCCACCUGUAAGGUCACGGUCACAGGAGACUGGGCAACUCCUGUUCUCCCUGUCCCCAGCCCUUCGCCUGGCCCUGGCAAAAGCCCAUUGCAUCAGCAGCUUCUACUGCUUCCGCCUGCGCCCUACCUGCCAAGCUUGGGCAGGAAGAGGGAAGGAAAGAGAAACUUUACGCCAAUCCCCCCCCUCCUCUGCUAACUUCCCCUCCCACCCUCGGGCCCUAACUAGCCCCGGGGACGCCUCCUCCCCACCAACGCAUCCAUCCCCAGAGGAACAAGCGAGGAUCUCAGAGCGCGACCUGGACAGGCUCUCACAAAAGUCACCGCGUUUGUGUAGGUAACUAAGGCCUACCGAAACCAGUCAGCCCUAAGUGCACACAGGAGAACCAUGGAGUUGGAGGAAAAGUCCAAGGUAGCCUGCUGGAUGGUGAGAGACACUUGCCUCAGUUUCUUGGUCAUCCUAGCCUACAAUCAGCUGUUUUCAGAAACAGAGUUGCCUAGCUGACCUGCAAUUGACCAUGGAUGCACGAGUGAGCCCAGCUGAGCUUAACGCACUCAAUGGAUUGGAUAAUGCCUGCCCACAUUAGUGAGAGUGGAUAUUUUUACUCAGCCUACUGAUUCAAAUGCUAGUCUCUUCUGGAAACAUCCUCACAGACACACUCAGAAAUAAUGUUUUACCAGCU
rnacentral:lncRNA from 1 species